UACGGAGGGGGCUAGCGUUGUUCGGAAUUACUGGGCGUAAAGCGCGCGUAGGCGGACCUGCAAGUCGGGGGUGAAAGCCCGAGGCUCAACCUCGGAACUGCCUUCGAUACUGCGGGUCUCGAGUCCGGGAGAGGUGAGUGGAAUUCCUAGUGUAGAGGUGAAAUUCGUAGAUAUUAGGAAGAACACCGAUGGCGAAGGCAGCCCCCUGGGUCAAAACUGACGCUGAUGCACGAAAGCGUGGGGAGCAAACAGG
rnacentral:rRNA from 1 species